CCUACGGGAGGCUGCAGUGGGGAAUAUUGGACAAUGGGGGCAACCCUGAUCCAGCCAUGCCGCGUGUGUGAAGAAGGCCCUCGGGUUGUAAAGCACUUUCAGUGAGGAAGAACGCCUGGUGGUUAAUACCCAUCAGGAAAGACAUCACUCACAGAAGAAGCACCGGCUAACUCCGUGCCAGCAGCCGCGGUAAUACGGAGGGUGCGAGCGUUAAUCGGAAUUACUGGGCGUAAAGCGCGCGUAGGUGGCUUGAUAAGCCGGUUGUGAAAGCCCCGGGCUCAACCUGGGAACGGCAUCCGGAACUGUCAAGCUAGAGUGCAGGAGAGGAAGGUAGAAUUCCCGGUGUAGCGGUGAAAUGCGUAGAGCCCGGGAGGAAUACCAGUGGCGAAGGCGGCCUUCUGGACUGACCGUGACACUGAGGUGCGAAAGCGUGGGUAGAAAACAGGAUUAGAUACCCUUGUAGUC
rnacentral:rRNA from 1 species